rnacentral:rRNA from 1 species
GACGAACGCUGGCGGCGUGCUUAACACAUGCAAGUCGAACGAUGACGGUGGUGCUUGCACCGCCUGAUUAGUGGCGAACGGGUGAGUAACACGUGAGUAACCUGCCCUCCACUUCGGGAUAACCUCGGGAAAUCGUGGCUAAUACCGGAUAUGAGCACUCAUCGCAUGGUGGGUGUUGGAAAGAUUUAUCGGUGGGGGAUGGACUCGCGGCCUAUCAGUUUGUUGGUGAGGUGAUGGCUCACCAAGACGAUGACGGGUAGCCGGCCUGAGAGGGCGACCGGCCACACUGGGACUGAGACACGGCCCAGACUCCUACGGGAGGCAGCAGUGGGGAAUAUUGCACAAUGGGCGAAAGCCUGAUGCAGCGACGCCGCGUGGGGGAUGACG